UACGAAGGGUGCAAGCGUUAAUCGGAAUUACUGGGCGUAAAGAGCUCGUAGGUGGUUUGUCGCGUUGUUCGUGAAAACUCACAGCUCAACUGUGGGCGUGCGGGCGAUACGGGCAGACUGGAGUACUGCAGGGGAGACUGGAAUUCCUGGUGUAGCGGUGGAAUGCGCAGAUAUCAGGAGGAACACCGGUGGCGAAGGCGGGUCUCUGGGCAGUAACUGACGCUGAGGAGCGAAAGCGUGGGGAGCGAACAGG
rnacentral:rRNA from 1 species